rnacentral:rRNA from 1 species
CCUACGGGGGGCAGCAGUGAGGAAUAUUGCACAAUGGACGCAAGUCUGAUGCAGCAACGCCGCGUGGAGGAUGACGGUCUUUGGAUUGUAAACUCCUUUUCUCAGGGAAGAGAAUGGACGGUACCUGAGGAAUAAGUCACGGCUAACUACGUGCCAGCAGCCGCGGUAAUACGUAGGUGGCAAGCGUUAUCCGGAAUUACUGGGCGUAAAGCGCACGCAGGCGGUCUUUUAAGUUUGACGUGAAAGCUCCCGGCUUAACUGGGAGAGGUCGUUGAAAACUGGGAGACUUGAGGCAAUGAGAGGGGUGUAGAAUUCCAGGUGUAGUGGUGGAAUGCGUAGAUAUCUGGAGGAAUACCAGUGGCGAAAGCGGCACCCUAGCGUUGUUCUGACGCUCAUGUGCGAAAGCGUGGGGAGCGAACGGGAUUAGAUACCCCAGUAG